rnacentral:rRNA from 1 species
CCUUACCAGGUCUUGACAUCCUUGGACCAUUCUAGAAAUAAAGCUUUCCCUUCGGGGACAAAGUGACAGGUGGUGCAUGGUUGUCGUCAGCUCGUGUCGUGAGAUGUUGGGUUAAGUCCCGCAACGAGCGCAACCCUUAUUAUUAGUUGCCAGCAUUUAGUUGGGCACUCUAGUGAGACUGCCGGUGACAAACCGGAGGAAGGUGGGGACGACGUCAAAUCAUCAUGCCCCUUAUGACCUGGGCUACACACGUGCUACAAUGGAUGGUACAACGAGUCGCCAGCCCGCGAGGGUGAGCUAAUCUCUUAAAACCAUUCUCAGUUCGGAUUGUAGUCUGCAACUCGCCUACAUGAAGUCGGAAUCGCUAGU